UAUUCUGCCCAGACGGGAAGGAUGAGAAGCUUCGACUAAGGUUCGAUACGAGCGUUAGCGAGAAAGCGUUGCCGCAGGCAACGACCCGAAGGGCGAAGCGCACCGCGCUGAGUAAUCCUUCCCCCACCACCA
rnacentral:sRNA from 1 species